AUGACCCCCGGCGAAGGUCUCGCAACCUGGGUAAAGUCAUCGAUACCCUAACGUGCGGAUUCGCCGAUCUCAUGGGGUAC
rfam:Hepatitis C virus isolate NE274, complete genome